GUUGUACUCCCUCCAUCCGGAAAUACUUGUCAUCAAAAUGGAUAAAAAGAGAUGAGUUCAUCUUUUUUUAUCCAUUUUGAUGACAAGUAUUCCCGGACAGAGGGAGUAGUAG
rnacentral:pre_miRNA from 1 species